GUUUAAUUAGCUUAAGAAAAAGCUUAGGACUCUUAAUCCUACGAAGGAGACUAAAUUAUCCUCCAUUAGACC
rnacentral:tRNA from 1 species